rnacentral:rRNA from 1 species
GACGAACGCUGGCGGCGCGCCUAACACAUGCAAGUCGAGCGAGAACCGACCCUUCGGGGUUGGGGACAGCGGCGAACGGGUGAGUAACACGUGGGUAACCCACCCUCGGUUCUGGGAUAGCCCGGGGAAACCCGGAUUAAUACCGGAUGGCCUUCCGAGCCCUCGGGCGCGGAAGAAAAGGUCGCUUCGGCCUCCGACCGAGGCCGGGCCGGCGGCCGGUUCGCUUGGUGGUGGGGUAACGGCACACCAAGGCGACGACCGGUAGCUGGUCUGAGAGGACGAUCAGCCACACUGGGACUGAGACACGGCCCAGACUCCUACGGGAGGCAGCAGUGGGGAAUCUUGCGCAAUGGGCGGAAGCCUGACGCAGCGACGCCGCGUACAGGAAGAAGGCCUUCGGGUUGUAAACCGUUUUCAGGAGGGACGAAGCCACUCGGGUUAACAGCCCAGAGGGUGACGGUACCUCCAGAAGAAGCCCCGGCUAACUACGUGCCAGCCGCCGCCGUAAGAC